CCCGCCCGUCCUGAACAAACCCACUUGCAAGAAGGGAAGAAGCUUCAGCCGUUAGUGCAAGCGGAGGAAUUGUCCUUCGAAUGAUGUUUUUUGGGCCAGGUUUUUAAGGACUUUAAUUAGGUAUACUGGUUACGGAGACGACAGAGAGCAACCCUUUCCACGCCCAGACACUUGAUGGAAGAUGAUCACUUUGGCAGGCAAGGCAAAGCUAACGAGAGCUUGUGAAGGCUGCCGUCGGGUGAAGAGCGGAGGACGCAAGAAGACCCCGGGGUGUGCUUUUGUGCAGCCAUCUGGCCCUUCAGCCCGUGCCCAUGGUCCCGUGCGUCACCGUCCUCCUCCACCAAGGACUCAAGAUAAGGCCAAAACGUAUCUCGUGUUUCAUAUGCCCAGCUCUGCUCUUUGGACACGCUGGGGAGAGCAGGCUGCGAGGGACUGGGGGUCAGGGCGGUGGGGUCCGUCGGUGCGCUGGCGUUGGCUGGGAGCUGGGGGGGUCUGGCCAAACCCCCUGCUCAAAGCUCAGCCAACCUGGGGAGCUCGGGGCUGGUUGCCCGGGCCCUGGUUCUGUUGUAUUUUGGGUAUCCCCAGGGAUGCUCUCCAUGACUCGUCCACGUCUUCCUCGCGUGGCCCCUCCCGCCCCACUCCUUUCCACCCAUCGCCCCAGCACCCCCAUGCAGGACUUUGCCCCCCGCCAUUGCUUAACCUCGGGAGGUCCUCUGGGCACGUUUCCCACCCUGACACCAUUCCCAAGCCGCCGCGGGCAGCGCGGUGCCACGUGGGAUGUUGUCCCACGGCAUCCCAGCACCGAGGGACAACCGCGGCCCUGAGUCACCUCAAACGUCCUGUUGAGUCAGCACCAAGUACUUUGGAUGGACCCAGCUGGUGUGUGUUUUUAGUGAUCAAGACUGAAAAAAAUGGCAGUGUGGCAGCAGUGCAUAAAUGUUAACACACUUAAAUUACUUUGCAGUAUCCAGAAAGACAGUAUUACCUAUGGAUUGUUCUAGAUUGCUGUUUUAACUCUCAUGUAGUCUAAUUGAACAGUGCAAACAAACAGGGGUUGAUCCUUUCCUUUAUCCCAAUUAAAAAAAAUGACGAUUUUUGUG